AAAUUCAAGNGGCNGCNGUGGGGAAUAUUGCACAAUGGGCGCAAGCCUGAUGCAGCGACGCCGCGUGAGGGAUGACGGCCUUCGGGUUGUAAACCUCUUUCAGCAGGGGAGAAGCGAAAGUGACGGUACCUGCAGAAGAAGCGCCGGCUAACUACGUGCCAGCAGCCGCGGUAAUACGUAGGGCGCGAGCGUUGUCCGGAAUUAUUGGGCGUAAAGAGCUUGUAGGCGGUUUGUCGCGUCUGCUGUGAAAGCCCGGGGCUUAACUCCGGGUUUGCAGUGGGUACGGGCUAACUAGAGUGCANUAGGGGAGACUGGAAUUCCUGGUGUAGCGGUGGAAUGCCCAAAUAUCAGGAGGAACACCGAUGGCGAAGGCAGGUCUCUGGGCUGUAACUGACGCCUAAAAACCAAAGCUGGGGGAGCGAAAAGGAUUAGAUACCCCGUAGGCCCAGCCCCAAAACCUUGGGCACUAGGUGUGGGGGACAUUUCCCCUUUUUC
rnacentral:rRNA from 1 species